GUAGUGCCUCGCGCUCUCAUUCCUCCGCCUCCCUCCCUCUCUUCGCCUCCCGCCCUCCCACCUCUCCCUCCGCACACACGCCGCACGCCCCACACCCCGCCGGGGCCGGCUCGCCGCCCUCCUUUUCCUCUUCCGUCCGGCCUCCCCGCCCUCGGUCCACCCCCUCCGCGCGCUCGCCCACCCCGCCCAGCCCGGAUCUCAGUCAGCGGCCGGAAGGGAAACGCGAAGCCAGCGCCGCUGCGGGGGGAGUCGGAUACCGCCUUUUUUACAAACUGGAGGUUUAUGGCAGCCCUGCAUUGAACAAGUCUAUCAGCACCAUUUUUCUAAUGCUGCUUGCUCACUUCAUGUCUCUGUGUCACAUUUUGUUAAUUCCUGCAAGAUUAUUUUUCAUUUUAAUAUUAUGUCUGUUACGGUGAUCUGUGAUCAGUGAUCUUUGAUGUUACCAUUGUAGUUGUUUUGGGGGCCACAAACUGUACCCAUGUAGGGUGGCAGACUUAACUGACUGUUGAAAUGACAAAGGAUUUAGAAUUUUAUGUAAACUCAGUUGAUAAAAACAAGGGGAGGGUUUGAAGGGAUUGACUCCAAUUCUGAAAGCUCUAUUGUGGGUAAAAUGCUGUCAAACAGCAUUACAUGCUACAGAUAAAUUGUUCAUGAAAUGAAGAGUCAAUCUACACAACAAACUUCACUGUUGCCUGAUUUUAAGGAAUUGCCACAGCUGCCACAGUUGCCACAGCCUCCCCAGCCUUCAGCAACCACCUACCUGAUAAAGCAGUCAACAUCAAGGCAAAACUCCACUGAACCACCAGGGAACUCCAGCAAUAAGCUAAAUUAAGAUAGUGUUUUCUUAGACAUAAUGAUUUUGCACACUACAGUAUAAACAUACCUUCUAUAUGUAUUGGGAAACCAAAAAAUUCAUGUAACUCAUUUUACUACAGUAUCUGAUUUAUUGCAGCAGUCCGGGACCCAACCCACGAUAUCUGUGAAACAUGCUUGUAUUACCUAAUUAUUAUUUUGUUUGACUUUUUAACAAAAAAGUAUGUAUAACAGGGGAAGAAAAUCCUAUAGAAGCAUGUAGUGAUUUAACUAAUCCUAAAGGAGACUUUCCAAAAGCCAAUAAUUUGAAUUGUCCCUUUGUUCCCCACACACCCCUAGGUUUUUUUAUACUUUCAGGCAGUGCCUCAUUGUAAUGAACAUGGAAGUUGAAUGCCUAGAAAUUGAUGCCCUGAAAACUUUCCAUACUGUGGUCCUUUGGAAAGUGUUUGUAAAACCCUCUAUGUAAACCCUCUUCUGAAAACCACUGCUCUGAAAUCUUUGCAUUAUGGCCUAGUUGAGGCAUAAAGAUUCCAAACAUUCACAGGUUUGAUGUUUAAUUUAUAGUCCUGAUGUUACAGACUGGAAGAAGUUUAUUCUAUCUAAAGAAUUUUUUUUUCUUUGCUUUUUAGGGCCACACCUGUGGCAUAUGGAGCUUCCUGGGCUGGGGUCUAAUCUGAGCUCUAUUUGCCGGCCUACACCACAGCCACAGCAGUGCCAGAUCCCAGCCACAUCUUCCACCUACACCUCAGCUCAUGGCAACGCCAGAUCUUUAACCCACUAGCAAGGCCAGGGAUGGAACCUGAAAUCUUCUGGUUCCUAGUUGGAUUCGAUUUUGCUGUGCCACUAUAGGAACUCCAAGAAUUUUUUUGUAAUAACCACCACUGUGUGUCCUUGAUCAUGUUACUUAAUCUCUCUAUGCCUCUGUUUCUUUAACUAUACAAGGAGCACUAAUGAUAGUACCUACCUCCAGGUUGUAAGGAUUAAAUGAAUUUAUGCAGAUGAAAUGUGUAGAACAGUGUUUGACUUAUAAUAAGCACAGAAUUAAAUGAUCAUCUUUUGUUUGAAAGAGAAAAAAAUUACAUCAGAAUUUUUGCUGUCUGGUGAAUUACUCUCAAAUUAUUUGCAGUAAUUCUUAAACUUUGGUUCCCAUGAGAAGAAUUUAGAGUGCCUUGUUUUUUGGGGGGUGGGGAAAGAAAACAUAUUCCUUGCGUAUUUCCCAGAGAUUUGGAUUCUGUUGGCCUGAUUUGGGCCCAGAAAUCACCUGUUUUAACAAGCACUCCAGGUAAUUCUGAUGCAGAUGGCUCUUGUCUGACCCUGUUUAUUUGAAACACUAUAGUCAGGUUUAAUCCCAUUUCGUCAACAUACAUCCUGCCUAUAUUUAAAAGCAAGAAGUCUGGUUUCUAUUUCGACUGACUUUUCUUUGGCCCAGAACACCCAGAGCUCUUUUACCUCUUCCUCAUGUAACAAGGUUUCAGAUUUGUACAUGGUCCUGAUUGAGAAAUUAAGCCUUGUCUAGAGAAUAGCAAUGUUUUCAUGAGAUAUGGUAUCUAGAAAUACAGUCUGACCUCACAAAGUAGCAAAAAAUUAUGAUCUUUUUUGUUCUAGACAACAUGCUCCAAUUAAUUUAGCCAUAUAAUAUUUGGCAACUCUAAACUGCAGUUAAUUAAAAUAUUUAGAUCUUUUUCACAUUUUCUGCUGCUAUAUCUCUUCCUAUAUUUGUGCAAUUUUUUUAACCUACUUGCAAUAUUUUGCAAUUAUUUCUUGUAAACUUUUUUCAUGUAAAAGUAAUACUACUCACUAUAAAAGCUAAAGAAAAAUUUUCAGCAUGGAAAAACUAAAUACUGACCAUUAUCCAAUAUCCAAUCAUAGGCAGUAUCAACAUCUUAAUACAUGUUGUCAUUCUUUAAUAGGCAUGUAAAUCUCCUUCUAUCAAAAUGGGAUUAACAUGUUUAAAUGAAACAAGUAUUAAGAAUUCCUUAUUAACAUGUAUAGAUAUAUAAUGCUUUUAUUGUCCUUAGUAUAGCAUUUCAUUGUAAUGAUUCACUGUAAUUACAUAAAACUGGACUCAGCUGAUGAACAUUUAAAUUGUCUCCAACUUACCCCUCUUAAGCAGCACCGCAAUAAACUCUCUAAUGCACAU
rnacentral:lncRNA from 1 species